CCAGCUCCAAUAGCGUAUAUUAAAGUUGUUGCAGUUAAAAAGCUCGUAGUUGGAGUUCAGAGUGAGCUCAGCCGGUCGGCCUCAUGGGUCAGAACUGGUCGACUCUCUCUUGUUUGUGGAUCCCGCCCGGAGUUAACUCUUCGGGAUGUGGAGUUCACAUCGUUUACCUUGAAAAAAUUAGAGUGUUCAAAGCAGGCGUUUGCUUGAAUAUAUUAGCAUGGAAUAAUGGAAUAGGACCCUGGUUCUAUUUUGUUGGUUUUGAGAACCAGAGUAAUGAUUAAUAGGGAUAGUUGGGGGCAUUCAUAUUUCAUUGUCAGAGGUGAAAUUCUUGGAUUUAUGAAAGAUGAACUUCUGCGAAAGCAUUUGCCAAGGAUGUUUUCAUUAAUCAAGAACGAAAGUUAGGGGAUCGAAGACGAUCAGAUACCGUCGUAGUCUUAACCAUAAACUAUGCCGACUAGGGAUUGGGCGUGGUUUGUUCAUUGACCCGCUCAGCACCUUACGAGAAAUCAAAGUCUUUGGGUUCCGGGGGGAGUAUGGUCGCAAGGCUGAAACUUAAAGGAAUUGACGGAGGGGCACCACCAGGAGUGGAGCCUGCGGCUUAAUUCGACUCAAC
rnacentral:rRNA from 1 species